rnacentral:rRNA from 1 species
GGUUAAGCGACUAAGCGUACACGGUGGAUGCCCUGGCAGUCAGAGGCGAUGAAGGACGUGCUAAUCUGCGAUAAGCGUCGGUGAGGUGAUAUGAACCGUUAUAACCGGCGAUUUCCGAAUGGGGAAACCCAGUGUGUUUCGACACACUAUCAUUAACUGAAUCCAUAGGUUAAUGAGGCGAACCGGGGGAACUGAAACAUCUAAGUACCCCGAGGAAAAGAAAUCAACCGAGAUUCCCCCAGUAGCGGCGAGCGAACGGGGAGGAGCCCAGAGCCUGAAUCAGUGUGUGUGUUAGUGGAAGCGUCUGGAAAGGCGCGCGAUACAGGGUGACAGCCCCGUACACAAAAAUGCACAUAUUGUGAGCUCGAUGAGUAGGGCGGGACACGUGGUAUCCUGUCUGAAUAUGGGGGGACCAUCCUCCAAGGCUAAAUACUCCUGACUGACCGAUAGUGAACCAGUACCGUGAGGGAAAGGCGAAAAGAACCCCGGCGAGGGGAGUGAAAAAGAACCUGAAACCGUGUACGUACAAGCAGUGGGAGCCUCUUAAUGGGGUGACUGCGUACCUUUUGUAUAAUGGGUCAGCGACUUAUAUUCUGUAGCAAGGUUAACCGAAUAGGGGAGCCGAAGGGAAACCGA